rnacentral:rRNA from 1 species
CUGACACAGGGAGGUAGUGACAAGAAAUAACAAUACAGGGCAUCCAUGUCUUGUAAUUGGAAUGAGUAGAAUUUAAAUCCCUUUGCGAGUAUCGAUUGGAGGGCAAGUCUGGUGCCAGCAGCCGCGGUAAUUCCAGCUCCAAUAGCGUAUAUUAAAGUUGUUGCGGUUAAAAAGCUCGUAGUUGGAUUUCUGCCGAGGACGACCGGUCCGCCCUCUGGGUGAGUAUCUGGCUCGGCCUGGGCAUCUUCUUGGAGAACGUAGCUGUACUUGACUGUAUGGUGCGGUAUCCAGGACAUUUACUUUGAGGAAAUUAGAGUGUUUCAAGCAGGCACACGCCUUGAAUACAUUAGCAUGGAAUAAUAAGAUAGGACCUCGGUUCUAUUUUGUUGGUUUCUAGAGCUGAGGUAAUGAUUAAUAGGGAUAGUUGGGGGCAUUCGUAUUUAACUGUCAGAGGUGAAAUUCUUGGAUUUUUGGAAGACAAACUACUGCGAAAGCAUUUACCAAGGA